rnacentral:tRNA from 1 species
AUCAGAGUGGCGCAGCGGAAGCAUGGUGGGCCCAUAACCCACAGGUCCCAGGAUCGGAACCUGGCUCUGAUA